AACGAACGCUGGCGGCAUGCCUAACACAUGCAAGUCGAACGAGACCUUCGGGUCUAGUGGCGCACGGGUGCGUAACGCGGGGGAACCUGCCCUUAGGUGCGGAAUAACUCCCCGAAAGGGGUGCUAAUACCGGAUAAUGUCCUCGGACCAAAGAUUUAUCGCCUUUGGAUGGGCCCGCGUUGGAUUAGCUAGUUGGUAGGGUAAAAGCCUACCAAGGCGACGAUCCAUAGCUGGUCUGAGAGGAUGAUCAGCCACACUGGGACUGAGACACGGCCCAGACUCCUACGGGAGGCAGCAGUGGGGAAUAUUGGACAAUGGGCGAAAGCCUGAUCCAGCAAUGCCGCGUGAGUGAUGAAGGCCUUAGGGUUGUAAAGCUCUUUUACCCGGGAUGAUAAUGACAGUACCGGGAGAAUAAGCUCCGGCUAACUCCGUG
rnacentral:rRNA from 1 species